rnacentral:sRNA from 1 species
GGUGGAGGACAAGGCAAGGAUGCCUAUUCUCACCACUUACGUUCAACAUGAUAGAGGAGGGGCCUACACAGAGAAAUAAGACAAAAGGAAACAGUACAUAAAGAUUAGAAACAAAGAAGUAAAACUGUAUGUAUUUGCAGAUGACAUGAUCAUGUAAGUAGAAAACCCUCAGGAAUCUUUUUAAAAAUCCACUAGAACUAUUGAGGUGAGUUUAGCAAGAUUGCAGGAAAAACGCCAGGGUGUUGGGCAAAAUUUUAAGGUAACCCCCAGCGACGUUUGCCCGUGUACAAUGUCCUCUCCUUGCGUGUGGGUGGAACUUGUGACUAUGAUAGGAUAACUGUGAUUAUGUUACAUUAUUUGGCAAAGGGAUCCUGUGGGUUUAAUUGGGUUACUUUGAGUUAAUCAAAAGGGAGAUUUUCCAAGUAGACCUGACCUAAUCACAGGAGCUCUUUAAGUCUAGGGCUAGAGGUCAGAGAUGGAAGCAGUUAGAGAGAGAGUCAAAGCUAAAUAGGGACCUUGAUACUAAGAAAGUAGUCUGUGAAUAUGGCCAGAUGUCUGUCACUAGUUUGGGAGAAAUCUCUUGGUCUGGCCAUUUUCUGUGAAUGUCAGAGUAGAUAUAAUUAUCCGGGGGGACUUGCCAUGGACUCUGGUCAUCUGGUAAAGACAUGUAUAUUUCUGUGCUAAUAAAGCAGUUUUAAUUUUAAAAUUCACCUCAAGUAUGAGAUUCUUCCCUCUGUACACAUGAGCUUUGUUUAGGGCUUUAGCACAAACUUAGCUCUGCUGCAUGCCUCAAAAGAGGUGCAGCUCAGGGUACCAGUUUGCUAAAGGGGAGCCACAUAGUCCUGUUAACCUUGCAGUGAAACUUAGAGUUGAUUAGGGUGGCAGGAAGCCAGAAGCACACUGCAUGGUAAUGAAGGCCCAAACAACUCGUUUUUCUUUCUACUGAUGAGAAAAAGGAAUUAAGCAUAAAUUGCAGUAGGAGACAUUUGGUCUGGAAUCUAGGAAUAACUUGCUGAUGGGACAUUUUAGAGAUUAGGAUCCCCAGACAAGUAGUGAUGUUGCUGUGAUGGGGAAGGGUACUGCUGUCUGGCCCUAACAGAGAUAGACUCAAAUCUUUUAAGCCCUCAUUAAGAUACUGUGUGUAAAUUUUGUUUUUAUUAAUGCAAAUUAUAAUUAUUCAGUAUUCCUUCCUUUUUUUUUUCUUUGACAAUUUUAAGCCUUGUCCUAGGUUAAGACUGAUGAACAGGAGCCAAAGAAGAGCUUUGUUGCAAAUGUAUACACUUUUUCCUAAAGUGAUUUUCCAUGACCUGAUACUUAUGUCACUGAGCACCUUGACAAAUGAAUGACUGGGUAGUUUUAUUAAGCCAGUUUUUUGUUGCUGUUGUUUUUCCCGCUGUCUGUCUUCUUCUUCUUCAUGUAGCUCAGUCCCAGUUCCAGAAUGAGGAAGCUGCCUCAGGGUCGCCCUGUUCCUCCCCUUGGACCUGAGACAAGAGUUUCUGUAGUCUGGGUGGAACGCUAUGAUGAUAUAGAGAACUUUCCCCUCUCAGAGCUGAUGACAGAGAUCAGUACUGGUGUGGAAACUACUGCAAAUAGUAGCACUUCACUGAGAUCUACAACUCUUGAAAAAGAAGUUCCUGUCAUCUUCAUCCACCCUUUAAACACUGGAUUAUUCCGGAUAAAAAUUCAAGGUGCCACUGGAAAAUUUAAUAUGGUCAUCCCUCUUGUGGAUGGGAUGAUUGUCAGCAGGCGAGCUCUUGGCUUUCUGGUGAGGCAGACUGUAAUUAACAUUUGUAGAAGAAAGAGACUGGAAAGUGACUCCUACAGUCCCCCCCAUGUCCGCCGGAAACAGAAAAUCACCGACAUUGUCAACAAGUACCGGAACAAGCAGCUGGAGCCAGAGUUUUAUACUUCACUUUUCCAGGAGGUUGGACUCAAGAACUGCAGUUCUUAGACCACUGAAUUUCUAAGACUGUUGAACUCCAGUUUGGGAACUAUAACACAGCAGAACAGUUUGAUAGGUGAUCACUGUAAAAAUAAAAACAAAUCACUCCCAAGAGCUUACUGUUUAAUCACCAGAAUAGAAGAAACACAUUAUAACCCAUUUGAUAGAAGACUUUGGGCUAUCUAGUGAAAUGGGCUCCCAGACACAAUCAUACUCCUGCUGAUAAUGAUGAUAUACAUUUUAGCCAUAAACUUUCUUUUAAAAGUGACAAUUUUAGUUAAACAUAAGCCUUUUGAGGAGAAAGGCUUUUAUGCAUCUCAGUUAAACACGUGCAUUGGUAGUAUCAACAAAUUUGCAAUAUAGAAGUUGAAGAUAGUUUUAUACCUCACUUUUUAGGAGGUUGUAUUCAAAAUUAAAAUCUUUCUCAGAAUCUUACAGGACAUUUAAAGACUCAUGUUGAUAGCAUGGAGGAGAAGGAAAGAAGUCACAGCCUUCUACUCACUUGUAGGUCUUCUUGUCAUCCAGCUGUCACACUGACAAAAAGAAAAGAUGAUACAUGUUUUUUGCUCAGAUAAGAAGCCUGACAUUAAAAGAUGUCAUAUUUUUUUCUCCACAUUUCAAAAAGUUGUCCUUCUCAUCACUGCACAGAUCUGUCUGAAAGCCUCAGUUUCUGAGUGACCCAGGAACAGAUCAGAAAUGGAGCAUGGCCUUGUCCUUUAAUGGGGAUGCAAAUAAAGUUUGUGGGGUUAAAAGUUAUAAGACAGCAGUGAUACCCCACUCUCUCCAUUAUUGUCCAGCGGGGUGACAUAAUGACAGGUUAAAUAUUUGUGAUUCAUUGAUUAAAUAUUAUUUAAAGAAAUGUAAAUUCACAAUAAGGGUUGAAAAUUAUUUGGUUUCAUCCAUUGUCUCUUAUUUCAGGACCAAGCAGCAAACUGCAGUAGUUUGUGAAGGAUUCUAAUAUGGGGUUCAGGAAUAGCCUCUCAACGCUACUAAUUCAGAUCUCUCCCAGAGAACUACUGGAUUUCCUCAUAAUUGACAAACAUGAGUGACCACCUCUUUGGGUGGCUACUGUUAGAAAUGGCUGUUGUUGUCAUGUUUUCUGGACUUUGCCAGCCAACAGAUCCCUGCCAGGUUUUGGAAAUACUUCUAUUACCUCGCUGCUACUUUUCUGCAGGGAUAAAACUUUUGAGGUGGCCAGACCCAGAACAUCCAAGGAUUCCUGUUACAGUGCUACAGUAUACACUGCUCAUUUAUCCUAUUCUCAUGUGCUUUCUUCUUUAGUAAGAUUAUUUUAAGAAAAUACGUGAUAUUUAAAGUCCAAAGAGGAAUGAUCACAGUUGUAUAAGGGGUGUUUUCCCACUUGAACUCUGAUGUCAGUUGACUGUGGGUCAGAGCUACAACCAUCUGUUUGGUUUGAUGUUUUGGUGGUUUACUUACGGAGUGGGGAUAGUGUGAGACCUAAUUCCCUGUGCAAAUGUCUCUUAUUCCAGAAAUGUGCAUUUUGUCAUCUAUAAGCAAGAAAUAUGGGCAUAGCAGCUCUUGGUUUAAAGUUUGCCAUAACCUGUUCAUGUUUGUUUUAAGCUCAGGUAAAGAUAACCUCCUCUUUCUAUGACUCCAGUUUCCAUUCAGGUUAUAGUAUUAUUCAAUAGUUGAUUUUCUUUUUAAGCUGGGCAAUAAAUUGAUGUUUCCAGAUGGUAACAUGGGAGAGGGCAUAUAGGAUAAAGAUGAGCAAAUUCUACCCUAAAAAUGUUCUAGUAGUUCACAGGAAGAAGAUGAGGUUUAAUAACUUUCAAGGUAAUUCUAGAUUGACAUUUUGAGGGGAAAAUGGGCUCUUGUUCUAGUUGAAGUGAGCAGAGAAGGCUAUAAAUUAGUAUGUAACUUACAGCAUUCCAGAGGUUAAAAAUAACUGAUGUAGAUGUACUUCUUCAGUGUGAUUCUUCAGAUCAAACUUUUACUUUUGGCAUAGUUAAUUUCAGAAAAAUGUGCUGUAUGUGUGUGUGUAUGAGGGUUGGUCUUGCUGAUCCUUGAGUUAGCUCUAAAUUCUGGCAACUUCUUGUAAUUCCAAUGUAUUUGAUACAUGAACAAUCAUGUUGAAUGCAUUUGUGAUCUGGGAGACUCCCUCGUCUUCCAGGGAAGGAAGGAUGUGCAGCCCCUGAAGGCAUGAAACUCCCAGUGUGUACGGAGCCAGUGGAAUAUGGGAUACCCAUACAUUACCAGGCGCUGGUUCCUUCUGCUUACAAUAACAUCUGCCCAAAGAGGGAGUGGGAAGAACCCUUAGCUCUUUCACUAGUAUGGAUUUGAGUUCAUGGUCACUAUUUUUACCCACCUGCCUGUGUUAAAAAUCACUUUGAGUAGAAUAGCACUGGAGGAACAUAUUUAGCACCUAAUAUUAAUAUUUAGUAGUCCAUUGAUAAAUUUGCCAGCAUAUGUUCUAGCCUCUGGUGGGAAACCAGGACCACUUUUGUCUGUGGCUUAAACAGUUCAGUUGCUAUAUCUGUUGGGUAUGCCGGGGGUGGAUGAGUGUGGCAUUCUGUGAAGAGGAAGGUGGUAAGUAAGGUUGCCCUUCUACUGCCUUCUUAAGUUGCAGGAGGGAGCUUUUCUCCUCCCCUCUGGUUGGGAGCACUGAGGACAGUGAGGAGGGCUUUUACCUUGUUAAUCCUUUCCUUAUUUAGCUAGCUUUCCUUUUUGUCUAGGGCUUCCUCCUGAGACCCUCUUCCAUCCAUUGGGCCUUUGAAAGGACUAAUCAGACACACACACACACACACACACACACACUCGCAUACUCAUGCACAUUUUCCUUCAUUUCCAGAUCCUUUAUUUCACAGCAGCCCAUUUUCCUCUGGAUUCAUUGAUGAAUACAAGUACCCACACCUUUGGCCAGUAAUGUCAGUUACCUGCUGCAGGUUCUGUGUAUGAGGCCUUCAUGAACGGUUACCUUCUCCAUACACUAGGGAAGCAUUUGUCAGACUCUGCAGACUGGGUUCUAGAGAGGCAGAGUCUUAAAGAGUAUUCAUUUCUUCUGGAAGGUGGAGCUUUACCCAAAGUGGAAGUUAGCCUUGCUCAAAGAUGUGUUUUGUGGUAGGUGGUAAAAAUAAAUAAAUAAAUAAAUAAAUAAA